rnacentral:rRNA from 1 species
AGGUAACGGCUUACCAAGGCGACGAUCAGUAGCCGACCUGAGAGGGUGAUCGGCCACAUUGGAACUGAGACACGGUCCAAACUCCUACGGGAGGCAGCAGGGGGGAAUAUUGCACAAUGGGCGAAAGCCUGAUGCAGCAACGCCGCGUGAGUGAUGAAGGCCUUCGGGUCGUAAAACUCUGUCCUCAAGGAAGAUAAUGACGG